GAUCAAUACUGUAGGGAGCGGCAGUGCACCGGCUCCACAGUUCUUUGUCGCCUGACCCGCUCGGCUGUCGGACGCCUCCCAAAAUGUUCAACGGCAGUGAAUACUGACGGCUGUUGUACAGUUUGGGAUGAAGUUUAUAAUUCUUCCGUAGCAGCAAACCUUUAUGGAAGAGAUUCAUCGUUGCUGAGUUGCUGACCUGCUAUCUUCUGGAAAACCGUCUUCUAUAUCCGGGUCCACCAAAGAAAUCAUUUGAAAAGGAAGCGCAGAUAGAGUUUAGACAUGAGCUAAACUACACGCGGGACGCUGUGCAAGGAUUGGGUAUGGAUUCCGGUUCAAACACGACGAACAACUAAAGAACUCAACGCCGAUGAAUCAUCUUCUGAAGCUCCCUUCCCUCACCAGGACCUCUCUUCUCUUUCCUAGCAUAGACAUUUCUUCUACCCCUGUUUUAUGUCGUGCGUGAUUUCCUUCUACUAAAUGUUCCCUUGCUAUUUGCAAUUUCUUGAUGUGUACCUUCAGUGUACUUAAAUGUAUGGACAAGAGAGUGUAUGGUAAUUUCCAGUUCCCUGUUAACUCCUUGGUGUUGUCCUUCGCUUUCGUGGUAGCUUACUGUCCUUCCUUCUCUGUCCUUCCGUGUCGUUUUCCUAAACGUGGUAUUUGUAAUCUCGGUGUUUUUAAAUCUUAUAUGUCCUUCUUCCCUAACGUGUGUAUUUCCUUGAAUGUCCUCUUUCUCACAUUCUAAACUUUUUGAUGUUUGUGUGUGUUCCUCUUCAUGUAAUCUGUAUCUUCAACCUUCUCCUAAAUGUUGAAUGAAAGGUUAAAUGUUGUCUCAGCAAUACCUAUGGUGUCUAGUAGUUGUGAUGUUCAGUGUAUCGUGUGAUUGUAUUCAAUUCUUGUCAAAGUGUAUUGUGUAGUAAAUGUAUUCAGUUUAACAUAUUAAUCGUUCUUCAAUAAAUGUUAAUGUACAUUGA